rnacentral:lncRNA from 10 species
CACAGCAACAGGGGCCACAUGCGUCAGGGAUAAGAACCCCUUCCCCUCCCUUGUCCAAGUGUGCGCUCACCAUUGCUCCAUCUCUAAGGGUGCACCCUUCUAUAGAAGUACCUUGCCUUGCUGAGAAUUAAAAAGAAAAUUUUAUAUUCAGGUGCUAUUUCUUUUGCGGCACCAAAACUUUAUAUAUAACACUUUGGGGGCUCACCCGUGAUUACAUUCCCCUCCUGGGACGGUCUCUGGUUCUCUCUCGUGAGGAGGCAUGCGUCCCGCCCCUUGUGGUGGCCUCAGGGGUGAGAAAUCAGAACCCACCCAGUGUGAGGAAUAACCCAGCUCUCAGCAAUGUGGGGGGAAAGAAAAAAAACAAAACUGGCCAGCAGUGUAGCUUAAAGGAUCCUCACAAACUGUAGCGAUGACUCUGUGCACAGCCCAAGGAAGGAGAAGCUGCAGGAGCCGGUAAAGUAUUUCCCUGGUGUUCGGGACCAAGGAUGAGUGGCUGCACCUCUGAUGAGACAAUGGCUGCACAGAAGCAUUUAAGACUCUGCACAGGAUCCAUCAGCCAACUGCACCACAGGAAUCACAGCUUGCAGAGUAUACAUGAAGAGGAAAUGAGGUAUUGCUCCUGAAAGUUCCCUCAAAUAAUUUGUGUUUGCUUCAUUUUGAAGGCUUCUGGAUAUCCUUCACAAGGAUAUAGGAUCCAAUAGAAGGAUGAUAGUUUUAAAUAUUUGGAAAUCUCUGACAAUUGCUCUGAAUACACAGAUCAGUGAUCGUGAGGUAGGGAGGUAUACACCUGAUGUCCAUUUAAGGAGUAGUAUCCUUAGUGCAACAUAGACUGAAUUCCCUCGAGAUUAACAAAUCCCUUGAGUGGAAUUAAACAGUUCCUGCAAGGCAGGCUGAAGUAUCUCUGAAGAGAACAAACUGUCAUGAUCAGGAUAGCCCAACAUUAGCGUUUAUUACCUAUUGACUAGACUUUGCUGAUACGAUUGUGAUGAUCUCAGUAGAAACAUUUCAUUGAUAUAAAGUUAAGAUUAAUUUUUUGCAAGAUUAGAGGUUGGGAUUAAUGACUUGAGGAAAACUCCAGCACCAGAAGGGUUCUGUAAAAGGGAAUUUUCAUUCUAAAGUAUUUAAAGGAACAGCUGUUAUAUUUUUGUCCACAGGGUCAGUUAGGGGAUUACAGAUUCAGCAAUCCAUUGGCUUCAGAGCCACAGCUGUGAUCUGGGAAAAACAUAUGAGAGUUUUGCUUUUUAUUAAGGAAUACAAAAAGAUCACAACGGUCAGAAAUAUCAGGAUGGGUCAGGCGCAGUGGCUCAGGCCUGUAAUCCCAGCACUUUGGGAGGCCGAGGUGGGCAGAUCAAAAGCUCAGGAGUUCGAGACCAGCCUGGCCAACAUAGUGAAACCCCGACUCUACUAAUAAUACAAAAAUUAGCUGGGCGUGGUGGCGCGUGAAAAAAAAAUAUUAGGAUGAAAAUAAGAGGCAUUAUAUUAGUGUUCUAGAAGGUGUUGAAGUGGUACAUUAGACAACAUUGUAUUGUUAAGGGAAAUCAGAAAAUUGAUGACGAAUCUGAAAAUGUAUCUUGUUCCUUCAUCUUCAGGAGAAGCUGUCCAUUUUGGAGCUUCAUUAUUUGUUCCAUAAUCUGGGGUCAGUGCUGUCCAUUUCUGAAGUUGACAACUUCUAGAGAAUUCCUAAGAAUCUUCAGUUUAAGGCUUCAGAUGAAAUGGAUGUUUAGUAGUCAGGAGGAAGAGAUGUGUGUUUUUUUUUUUGAGACGGAGCCUCGCUCUGUUGCCCAGGCUGGAGUACAGUGGCUCAAUCUCAGCUCACUGCAACCUCCGCCUCCUGAGCUCAAGCAAUUCUCCUGCCUCAGCCUCCCUAGUAGCUGGGACUACAGGCACGUGCCGCUGCACCUGGCUAAUUUUUGUAUUUUUAGCAGAGACGGGGUUUCACAGUGUUAGCCAGGAUAGUCUGGAUCUCCUGCCCUUGUGAUCUGCCUGCCUCGGCCUCCCAAAGCGCUGGGAUUACAGGUGUGAGCCACUGCACCUGGCCAAGAUGUGAAUCUUUUGAACUGGGAAAUGUGAAUCAGAGGAACAUUACUUUGGCCUUUUACUGCUAUGUUAUUUGUUAAUAGUACCUGGUAAGGUCCUUUCAUUGUGAUUCAAGGGCAGUCUUUCUCUAGGGUCUUUUCCAGGAAGACUAAACCUCCAUGUUGCAGAUUAUAUAGAGGUUGUUCAGAGGGUGGUUUGGAAAUGCACCUUUUGCUUGUUGAUGAAGUAAUUAAUCAUAUCUGCCUGUAGAAAGAUAAUGUGUUGGCUUCCUAGGACUACCAAAACAGAGUUCCACAAACUGGAUGGCUUAAAACAACAGAAUACAGUUCUGGAGGCCGGAAGCCUGAAAUCAGUGUAUUGAAGAGCCACUCUCCCUCUGAAGGCUCUAGGGAAGAAUCCUUCCUCUCCAUAACUUUUGGUGAUUGUUGGCCACACUUGGGUUUCCUUGGCUUGUAGAACCAUCACUCCAAUCUCUGCCUCCAUCACCACAUGGCCUUCUUUCUGCGUGUGUCUCUGUAUCCAAAUUUCUCUCUCUCUCUCUUUUUUUUUUUGAGACAGAGUCUUGCUCUGUCACCCAGGCUGGAGUGCAGUGGUGCGAUCUUGGCUCACUGCAACCUCUGCCUCUCUGGUUCAAGCGAAUCUCGCGCCUCAGCCUCCCUAGUAGCUGGGAUUACGGUCACACAUCACCAUGCCCGGCUAAUUUUUUGUAUUUUUAGUGGAGACGGGGUUUUGCCAUGUUGCCUGGGCUGGUCUCCAACUCUUGAGCUCAGGCAAUCUGCCCGCCUCAGCCUCCCAAAGUGCUAGGAUUACAGGCAUGAGCCACCGCGCCCAGCCCAAAUUUCUCUCUUCUUAAAAAGAUGUAUGUUGGCUGGGCUCAUGCCUGUAAUCCCAUCACUUUGGGAGGCCAAGGUUGGCAGAUAGCUUGAGCCCAAGAGUUUGAGACCAGCCUGGGCAACAUGGCAAAGCCUUGUCUCUACCAAAAAGUACGAAAAUUAGCUGGGCGUGUCAGUGUGCACCUGUAGUCCCAGCUACUUCGGAGGCUGAGGCAGGAGGGUUGCUUGAGCCCAGGAGGCCGAGGCUGCAGUGAGUUGAGAUCACACCACCGCACUCCAGCCUGGGCAACAGAGUAAGACCCUAUCUCAAAAAAAAAAAAAAAAAAAAAAAAAAAAAAGCACGAGGACACCUUGUAAUUGGAUUAGGGCCUACUGUGAUCCAUUGUAACUUAAUCUUGAUUGCAUCUACCAAGAUCCUAUUUCCAAAUAAGGUCAUAUUCACAGGUAUCAGGGGUUAGGACUCGAGCAUAAAUUUUAGGGGAGACAAUUAAGGUAGAAUAUAAGAUUGGGGGUGAAAUUCCCAAAUACAUGGGGCAAUCUGUUAUUAAUUCAUAAAGAGAUAAUCUGUGGGUUUUCAGAGGGGGUUCAUUUUAUAGACAUUAAAUCUAAUGGUCAUACUUCAGGCUAUGGGAAUUAAGAGUUCCUGAGUGCUUUGCUAAUUUUAUUUUAGAAUUCCAUUAGUUCUAUUUUUUCCCUGAGUAUUAUGGAUAAUGCAUUUUUGAGUAAAAGACAAAACUUUACAGAGUAUUAGUAGUACUAAUAAAAAGAAUAGUACUAAUAAAAAGAGAGAUAAGUGGGAAUUUCCCAAGUGGGAAAAACAAAAGCAAGAUUUUUUUUUUUUUCUUAGAGGCGUAGCUCUCUGGCAAGGAGAAGAUUCAACCAGCUCUGAGAAUAAAUAGACAAUAACCAGAACAUAUUCAUAACCCAGUGCAGGAGGCAUUUAUAUAAAGUCCAUCUGGAGUGUUCAAAGGGCCCUUGAGGUUUGGUUUCUGUCCAUGUCUGAUCUUUACAGUUUUGCCAGGAUUGUGUCACUGGAAGGUAGGAGAUGUUUUGGAAACAUCCUCAGCACUAACUCUAAAUUUAGCCCGCUUAUGUUAGUCUAAUAUUGUUGCCAAUUUAUUUCUGCUAUUACUUGUAAUAUCAUGAAGCAUCUUUACUAAAUUCCAUUUUUCAUUUUUUGGCACUACUGGCAGAUCAUUCUGCAAAUGCCAAAUAUUAUCUAUAUGCAAUGAGCAUCCUAAUUUUUUCCAUUUGCUUUUUUCCAAACCAGGAGCUUGUCUCUGACAGUCAAUAAUAGCCUUUUUGAAUUCUCCAAGGCCUCUCUUUUCUGUGUUAUUACAGGAACAAUUAUGUUUGGCUAAUGUUGCCUUUUUUGGCAUAGUGGUCAGCUAAAGCACUACCAUGAGAUUUGGGAUCCUUGCAUUCUAUAAGCAGGGAAGUAACUAUAAUAAAAGUGGAAGGUCAUAAAUUUAGGGCUCAGCCCUAAGUUUCUAUUUUUAAAAAGAAACCGUCCACAAAUAAAAUUACAUCAGAUGGCCGGGUGCGGUGGCUCACGCCUGUAAUCCCAGCACUUUGGGAGGCCGAGGCAGGCGGAUCACCUGAGGUCAGGAGUUCAAGACCAGCCUGGCCAACAUGGCAAAACCCCGUCUCUACUAUAGAUAAAAAAAUUAGCCAGGCAUGGUGGCAGGUGCCUGUAAUCCUAGCUACUGAGGAGGCUGAGGCAGGAAGAAUUGCUUGAACCUGGGAGGUGGAGGUUGCAGUGAGCCGAGACCAUGCCACUUCACUCCAGCCUGGGUGACAGAGUGAGACUCCAUCUCAAAAAAAAAAAAAAAAAAAUUAUGUCAGGGAUAUCUGGGGAAUUGGUAACAAACCUGUAUAAGAUUCAGGUAAAUCUGUAAGACGGACUUAAUUGUGAAGUUCUCCUUCAGGUAAAGGAAGGGGAGUGGCUAGGUUUAGAGUGUUGCAGUGAUAGUGAUGUUUGAAGGUGAAAGCAUAGCGUUUGAUAGGAUGUCAGGCAGCUAGCUGAGAAAUGCUGACUAUUUUCCAUUAAUAAAGGAGUGUGUACAUGAGAAACCAUUAAGUUUCAUGGAGAAACUAGAACUGAGCCACCUGAGGCUUCCAUAAAUAUGCUGGUGCUGCUAUAGUUCUUAGACAAGGUGACUACAUCUUAGCUACUGGAUCUAAUGGGAAGACUGAAAAAAGGGCCUCUGAUGGUUGUCAGGUAAUUGGGUUAGUAUUCCUAGUGUUUAGACUUUUAAUAACAAAAUAGGAAAAGGGUUUAUGAUAAAAAGGUGACCCCAGGUUUGGGGACUGUUGCAGAGACUUUUUUAGGUUUCGGAAGUCUUAUUAUAUGAAUCUUCCUAGAGUAAGAGGUUCAGGAUCUAAGGACUUAAUUCACGGAAAGGGGUAGCAAUGGCAGAAGAGGUUGGCACCCAUCACCCAUAAUAUAUAGUCACCCUAGGAACCCUCAAAGUUGCUUUGUAAUAGUUCGUUUGGGAAAACUGAAUAAUUUGUAAUUUUUAUGCUGCGAGAGAUUUGCCUUCUUUUGAUGGUGUGUGCCCUAAAUAAUGAACAUUUUGUUGUUGCUAUUGUUGUUGUAGCAGAAUUUUAAUUUCUCUUUGAAGGCUUUAUGUCUCUUCUGAAUGAAGGUCUUUAAUAAAUACACCAAAUCAGUCUUAAAGUUUUGCUCAUUUUUUGAACAUAGUAAAAGAUCAUCUACGUAUUAUAUCUACAUAUUAUAUUAGAAUAGACUCACAAGGAAAUCUCAAAUCCUUGCAGUCCCAAUUAAGAACCUGAGAGAAAUAAGAAAGGAUCUUCAGUAAAUCCCUGAGGCAAAACAGUCCAGAGACUUGAGCAUCUGUGGAUUUUGGUGUCUGCAGCAG